AAGUACAAUAUUAGGCUAAUUCAAUAUAUGUAACAUAAAAUAAGAGUUAGCACAAAUGUAAUCUAAAUGUAAUCCAAAAGUAAUCAGUGUAUGUUACCAAAAAUGUGUAAUCUAAGAGAUUAUAUUACUGACUACACAUUUUUCAUGUAAUCUGUAAUCAGUGACUGAUUACAAUUCAUAAGUAAUCUACCCAGCUCUGCUUCUCAUCAUACUUUUAGUUUGUGCAACUGGUCAACAAACUUUGCAUACGUUGUUUUUGCGAUUCUACUGACAUCACAGCUAGUUAGAUAACUUUUUUCACCUGCAUGAUCACUGGUUAUCAGUUCUGCGCAUUUCAAACAAGCCUGUUGCCAAUCUCAAGCUGUACUAUUUAGCUGUACUAAAUUACUAAGAUUAAUAAAGCUAAAAUAACCUUUUUUGUUGUUGUUUCUGCAGAUUCUGUUUCAUCAUUGUGUUUGCGGUGCUGAUAAACAAAGUCUCUCUGCAGCUCACAGUAGAGGUCACAGUAGAGGGUUUCAUCGGUGGUUCUGUUCUCCUGCCGUGUUCUUCAACUCACCAUGAUCUUAAACUUCAAGACACUGAUGUGUUUUGGAGAGACCAAGACAAUGAGCAUAUUUAUGAUUUAAUUAAAGGUACAGAAUCUUUAGAGUCACAGGACCCACGGUAUAAGAAUAGAGUGCAAACUUUCCCUGACGAGUAUAAGAGAGGAAACUUCUCCAUCAAACUCAUCGAUCUCACUCACGCUGAUGCAGGAGAGUUCAUAUGCCUCAUCACACGCUCAAAUGAACGAGUGACUGUACAACUGAUCAUCAAAAGUGGUCCCACCCCACCCCCACCCCCCACAGAAUCAACAGAACAUCAAGAAAACCAUGGACCAGAAACACAAAUAUUAGACUGGUGGAAGAUAUUACUGAUCUGUGUUUUUACUCUAUCACCUGUUUUCUGUUUGUCCUAUUUCAUAUUUCAGAAGAGAAAAAGAACUCAGGCUCCCAUAUAGAAAGAACAGUAGUAAAAGUUUUAUUAGCCUCACUUUCUUAUUUUCUAACUUUAUCACACCUUUAUUGGUACUUUUAGUCAAAUUUGUCCCGCUUUCAUUGCUUCUUUCUGGUGCAUAAUACUGUUAAAGCCUCUUGCACCUAGCAGUGCAUGUUUUCUGGCACCCAUUGUAACUAAUGUUCUCAUCAGAAGAGUUAGCGGCAUGUCUUGCAAAAUCACAUUUUAUGUUGCAGUUUCAAUGAAACACAUCUGAUGCUGUGCUCCCCUUACAGUUUGAAACAAGCAUUACACUGUUUUGUGCUGUGAUAUUCUUGUGGACACAAAUCACUGUCCACUGCUUGUUCUUAUUGUGUAACAAUGAGAUUGUGAAACACUCAAACGGGAACAUGCUGUCAGUUGUUACGUUUUUUGCCUUAAAACUUUACCACAAUUGUCCUUUCUUCAUGUUUUGUUUGCCAGAAUAAAUGUAUUUUGUAUUCUUAAGCCUUUCUUGUUUGUUUAAAUUAUAUAAAUACAAUAUUCAUUUUAUACUGUGGACAUUUAUACAAAAGCCAUUAAUCAUCUUAAACUCAACAGAUUUCUAUGGGUAAACAAUUUUCUGUUGAAUUCUACAGAUUAAUAUAAUUUUACAAUAAUUAUUUUUGUAAGCUAUUGUAGAAUGUGUUAUGAAAGGGAAGAAUAAAGUGAAUAUGAAGAAUUAAAUGUUUUGACAAGAUAUUCACAAGUGUUUUGUUAUAUUUUAUGGAAAAAUAAGACAUAUGACAGU